AAAAGCGGAGCCGUAGCGAAAGCGAGUCUGAAUAGGGCGCAUAAGUAACAGGUCGUAGACCCGAAACCAGGUGAUCUACCCAUGUCCAGGAUGAAGGUAAGGUAAUACUUACUGGAGGUCCGAACCCACGCACGUUGAAAAGUGCGGGGAUGAGGUGUGGGUAGCGGAGAAAUUCCAAUCGAACUUGGAGAUAGCUGGUUCUCUCCGAAAUAGCUUUAGGGCUAGCCUCGAGGUAAAGAGUCAUGGAGGUAGAGCACUGUUUGGACUAGGGGCCCUUCUCGGGUUACCGAAUUCAGAUAAACUCCGAAUGCCAUGUACUUAUACUCGGGAGUCAGACUGCGAGUGAUAAGAUCCGUAGUCGAAAGGGAAACAGCCCAGACCACCAGUUAAGGUCCCCAAAUAUAUGUUAAGUGGAAAAGGAUGUGGGGUUGCUUAGACAACCAGGAUGUUGGCUUAGAAGCAGCCACCAUUGAAAGAGUGCGUAAUAGCUCACUGGUCGAGUGACCCCGCGCCGAAAAUGUACCGGGGCUAAACAUAUUACCGAAACUGUGGAUGAACCUCUU
rnacentral:rRNA from 1 species